GCUGGGUGUUGUGGUGGGCACCUGUAGUCCCAGCUACUCGGGAGGCUGAGGCAAGAGAAUCGCCUAAGCCCAGGAGUUGGAGGUUGCUGUGAGCUAUGAUGCCAGGGCACUCUACUGAAGGUGAUAAAGUGAGACAUUGUCUCUUAUUUUAUUCUUUUUUGAUACAGAGCCUCAAGCUGUCCCCCUGGGUAGAGUGCUGUGGCAUCAUAGCUCACAGCAAUUUCCAACUCUUAGGCUCAAGCGAGUCUCUUGCCUCCA
rfam:Otolemur garnettii contig050291, whole genome shotgun sequence.